UAUAUUAUAAAUUAAUAUUAUUUUUUAAAUUUGCAAUUUAAAGAUUUUUUUCUUACAUAU
rnacentral:tRNA from 1 species